AUUUAUAAUCAUUUGUAUCUUGCUUCAACAAAAAAAGUUAAACCAUUUAUCACAAAAUUUUCACUGUAGGAUUUUUACUAUUUUAAGUAAUUUAUAGUCGUUUUAAAAAAUUUAAAAUAUAACAUACAAGAAAAAAUAUAAUUUUUUAAGAGAAAUUAUCAAAAAUAUCAUUUUCAUGUUACCACUUUCCAUGUUUACCUUAACCAUUUUUUCCCUUAUUUUUAAUGAAAGGUAAAAGACAUUUAUAUCCCUAAGGUUAAAUAAUCUAGAAUUAGAAUUUUGAGUUGAGGUUGUGGAGUAGGGAUUUUAGAAUGUGAAAUUUAGGAUUCUAAUAAAUAUAUAAAUAAAUACUUAAAAAUAAUGCAAUGCAAUGCACGUUUAUUUGGGUAAAUGUGAACUCUUUGCUUAUAAACGAAGCCACUGUGUAAACUACAGAGUUAAGUUGAUACUAUUUGAAAUAAAAUUUAUAAAAAAACUGAUAAAGUUUCAAAAAUCUUUUAUUCAAUUUAGAUAUAAGAUGGAAGAAUCUAUUCGGCGGUAGCUUUGGAAUAUUUUAAAAAUCCAGAAUAUAAGUGGGAUGGGAUCAUACUUGGAUUUGCUAGAAAACUUAGGAGGAUCAAAGACUAAAAAUUUUAGUUUUAUUCAGAAACGUUUAAACAUCAGAGUUAAUGGAUGGACGUACAAUUUUUCAUCAAAAGGGAGAAAAGAGGUGGUCAUUAAAUUAGUGGCCACCACUUUACCAAAUCAUUUAAUUUCUUGUUUUCGAUUACCGAAGAUAGUGGCAUAAUUUUAAUGGAGUUUGGGAAAAAAAUGUAAGAUUGGAAAUCAUAGGAUGAACUAUGCCACAAUAAAUAGGAUGGAGGGCUUGGGUUUAGAGAUCUUACGGACUUCAAUACGGCUAUGUUAGGGAAACAAUUUUGGUGCUUGAUCGAGAAGCCUAAAACCUUAUUUUCUCGAGUUUUUAAAGGACGGUACUUCAGGAAUGCAUCACCCUUAGAACCGAUUCGAUCAUACUCUCUGUAUAUGGAUGGUGUAGUAUAGCAUCUACUAGAUCUCCUUUUUAGCAAAGGACUAAUCAAAAGGGUGGGAACGAGAUUUUCUAUUUCAGUAUGGAAUGAUCCUUGGCUCCCAACCACUCGCCCGAGACCAGCAAACAUAAAUCAACAUAACCUUUACUCAUAUCUCACAGUGGAUUCUCUCAUCAAUACAACGCACGAACAUGGAAUUCUCAGGUAAUUCAGUCUUUGGUGGAUUCGAGGGAUGCGAAGAUCAUAGAAAGUAUACUGUUGAGUCGAAUUCAGAUGGUUGAUCAAGAUGGUUGGCAUUUCACUAACAAUGGAAAAUAUACGGCGAAACCUGGAUAUCAAGUGGAAAGAGUAUAUCUAGACAGAGAACAAGUAUUGUCGGUAUAUGGACCGAUGUUCAAUCCUUUAAAGGGUUACUCCUAGAAAAUUCAAUGCCUAACGAAAAUAAAACAUUUUUUAUGGCAAUUAGUGUCGGGUUGUAUAUCGGUUAAGAAAAGUUUGAGUGCAAGAGGUAUACAAGGUGAUAAUCAGUGUGCAAGAUGUCGAGCUAAUGAAGAAUCAAUCAACCACGUGUUUUUUUAAUGUUCUUCGGCAGUUCAAGUUUGGCCUUUCUCCAAGAUCCCAUCGAACCCAUAAACUUUCCUUUCUUCGUUGUUAUUCGAAAAUGUGGAUUACAUGUAUUGGAGGCCUACCCCGCACCUGGAAGACUAUCAAUUUGCAUGAAUUUUAUAAUAUAUCUUGAAAGGACGAAACAACAAGGUUUUUAGUAAUAUAGAUUUAGGCCCCAAAGAUACUCCAAAUUUGGCAGAGAUUGAAUCAUUACUUUGGGUCGAGGCACAUGCAUCACUCACACAAAGGAUUACCAAUCUAGGAAGAUGGAAAGGGCAAGUUUACCUUCAACUCUGGAUAGUUGAUGUUUUACAGAUGGAUCAUAGAAAGGUAAAGAUAAUUUCUCGGGACAUGGCUAAUAUACUACAUUAUAAAGCUUUGAUGGACUGAUGGGUGCAAGGAAUAAGAGACCAACUCUCUCACCCUUACACUAUGAGAUAAAAGCUCAUAUGGGCAAUGAAAUAUAUUAAAGAACUUACGUCAGUAUCAUGUCACAUUUGCAACGAAUUGCUUUCAAUUGGUGAAGAUAGUUUUAGCACCAGAUGAAUGACCUGCCUUUGCUACUUAUAUGGAAGACAUCAAAAUCCUAAAAUGAAGUUUUAACCACUCAAAAAUCAUCUAUAUACCACGAACGGAUAGUCUUGCUCAAAGUGCCAGAAAACAAUUGUCUCAUCAAUUAUAUAGAUGCAAAAUUACCAGUUUAGUUUGCAAAAUCUUAACUGAGUCUGUAUAUGUUGAUACCAAAAAAAAAAGCAAUGCAAUGCAUAUUUAUUUAAAUAAAUGCGAUUAUUUGCUUAUAAAUGAAGUCACUGUGUGUAGACUAUAGAGUUAAGUUGAUACUCCUUGAAAUAACCCCACUUUUUAUUUCAACGGAAUUAAGUGAUUAGAUGAUGAGCAUUUCUUGUUGUGUUUAUGUCCACUUUGAGGCUUUGGAUAAUAAUUGGCAAGAUUAAGAGAAUCCGAUUCCAACGAUGAAUCUCGUGAAGGCAUUAUUAUUUUGUUAAGACAAUCUAUCCUAUACUAAAAGGAAGAUAUGGAGAGAUUCUAGCCUGUCCACGUUCUUAAAAAAAAUCAUCCAAUCAGGAGAUUUAAAUAUGCCACAUCAUCUUUACUUAGCCAAUUCUUUAAAAAAUACGGGCCUCCUGCGUUUGGGCUCUUAAAUCUUCCGAAAUCAACUUUUCGGACCUCAUAUCCGACCCAGGUUAAAAACAGUUGACAUACCCUAAUCUUCUAAAAUCGUCAUAGAAUAAACCAUCUUCUUUCAUCUUCUUCCAAUCUUCGUUACACAUCCUCUAUGCAAUCAAUCGUUUGCUUUAAUUCCCUCUUAAUGAUUUCCUUUGGCCUCCUCUCUUUCUCAUUCUUUAUAAACUCUUUCUUUUUAGCUUUUUUAGCUUGCUAAGAAUCAAAACCCGAAAAGCUCAUCUCAAUAAGCACAAGCCAUGGCAAAACCCAACCGAUAGUCACCUAUUCAACCGGAAAUCUCCUCUCCUCUCGCUUUGUAUUUCACAUCUCACCCGAAAAACGCAGAAAAAGUAUGGAACUUUAUUGGACUUGAAAUGGUCAUCAUGGACGAACAGGCGGAGGAUUUGCUGAUGCAUAAAUGAUUUACAAUAUUUUUGAAGUUAAUGACAUUGGAAAGACAUGCUUCAUACUAUAUAGCUUAUUCUUUUCACAUGGAGUUCAAGUCUGAGGUGGAAAACACCACUGAGAUCUUCAGUCUCAGAAUAUCUAGAAAGGCAGAGUCUAUGGAAAGUUGAAUGAUUCUUACGAAAAAUUCAUGCGCAUUCGAGGGACCUUCUCCUAUCUACACUGAAACUACAUGACUGGAGGAGAGCGCAGAGGAGAGGAUAAAAGAAAAAAAAAAUCUUUACCUAGAAAAUGGACACAUUAAAGGUUUCUACUCAUUGCUUACUCUUUUGAAGGUUUUGGUAGACAAAGAAGAAUUUAUAGCGUAAGUUGGCAAAUUUUGAAUGUUCCCACAAUAAGAUGUUUCUUCGCCGACUUCUAAUUAUGACAUUGCAGACUGGGAAUAAGAACUAAACCAUCUCAUAAUUAUCAACUGCUCUGCUGCUUAAUGAUGGCUGUGAGACUAAGAAGUAGGAGUAUGAUUCAUUCACGAAAACAAUCAUGAAGUGUUUAUUUAUCAGCUUCGUACAAUGAACAUCCUCCACUAAAUUUCAUAAAAUCUAGAAAUCAAUAAAAUCAAUGAGGAGAAAAAAGCAUCAAUGGACAAUGGUUGCUGAGUAUUCUGCGGAAGCCAUCUUAAGAAGGGUCCAUGCUCUACAAAACGAUGAUUUUAUGCCUCCAAUUGAAGCCAUCCUUGCUCCAUUAGAAGCUGAGCUUAAGCUUGCGAUAAGAGGUAUUUUAUGUUCUUUGUUGGGAAGGUUCAAGAAGAUAAGAUGGUUUUGAAUCGUAUAACUUAAUCAAAAUAAGCUGCCUUACUUAAUGCUGAGAGGACUAUUGGAUGUGCCCUGGCAAAAAGCAGUGAUGAUUGAUGAUGUUAAAAAUAGAUGUCAGGAGUUAAUGAAACAAAAACAAAUCUGACAGGUUCUGUAGUUAUCUUAAUUCUUUGUAUGUAUUCUCAACACGCUAGAGAAGGAAAUUUCCCAGUACAACUAUGUUAUGACGAUCAAAGACAAAAGUUUGAAAGCUGUUCUAUUGUACUUGCCAUUACCAAUAUUCAUUUGUGUACAAAUAUAUGUUUUGUCCUAUCAAGAGUGUUUUUUGUAAUCAACGUAUAAGGACUCAAAAGAGAAAAAUAUUGCUUAUAAAUAAAUAAAAAAUGGCUUUACAACUUAAAUAAAGUUGGUAAGAAAUGCGUUUUUAGUUGAAAAGGCCUUAUGGAGCCUUCGAUGGAGAAUGAACACAAAUCUCGAAAAGUGAAGAGGAAUUCGCUUGAGUGAGAACAACAAGAACACCAUUGCACUGCAGGAACCACCGGUUGGAGGAGAAUGGUCGAGUAUGCUUUCACCAGACGCAUUUGAACAUAGAAGAGAGAAAUAGAUCAGGAGGAAACGGUCCUGCCGACGUCAGCUCCAGUUAACCACCGGCCGAAUUCUAAGGUGUGCCAAUACCAGUGGAGAAAAUGAGAGCGAGACUGAGAAUUGGAAUAUUUCAGCUCUACGGAUCAUAUUAGUUUUCAAAACUAGAAUCAUGCAAAAGAAGGAGUCGUAAGAGUGCAAUACACUCAGAGGAAAUGGUAUAUGGCUAAUUUAAUUCUUCCCAUAAUGUUUUGAUUGAUCUUUAGCUUGCUAUCUUAUUUUCUAAUCUGAUUCUUUUGUUGUCUGGUUGUAAUUAGCAGCUCGGCCACAAACAAAUUAAUCACCUUAAAUGACCAUGGCUCCCUUUAGCUUAACAUUGGUCAUCUUGAUCCUGAUGCUAUCUACUCUGGCCAGUUCACCACACUCCCCUCUGAGUAUAUGUCUGUGUCCAGAUUUGACAUAUAGCUCUCAACUAAUCCACUUUAGAUUACUUUGUCAUCAUCUCAAAUCUCGAAUGAGUCUUCCAUAACUGUAUUUAGCAAAAAGAAUGAUUGUGUUUCUCUUUUAACGUUUUCAUUUUUAUGAAACAUAACAACAAUGAUACUUAAAAUGUUUGUUUAAGUAAUUGUUUCUAAUUAAUUAUUUGUAUUAAAACAGUCGUGUAUAUGAAACUAUUUUACUAAAUGCUUUUUCAUGUUUUUGGCAAAAAAAUACUUUUUCAUGUUCCACCGUCUCACUUAUCAGUCGUACACAUGUAUCUAUCACCUGAUUUCUUUUGUUUAGUUGAAACUAUUAUAAUAUUAAACUAAUCGUACUUUUAUCAUUUUAAUCAAACAUAAAAGUUUCAACUGUAACAUUGAAAUGCACUUCACAACUAAAUUCUUUAAAAAUGGGGAUGAAAAUAAUGAAUAUGGUCCACUCAGCUAUUCUUACAAAUCAAGCAUCUAAAAUAGGAAGAGAUAUAACAAAACACUAUUAUCAAUUAGAUUAAAGUAUAUGAACCACGAAACAUUAAAAAAACUCAUGGUUCAAAUAAAACUAUAUUAUUAAUUAGAUUAUAUAUAUAACAAAACACAAGCAAAGAUAAAAAACUGAAAGUUUAAACCAAAAUAAACAUGAAAAAUGAGUAUUACAUGUGACCAGAACACUAAAAAUGAUCACAUAACAAUUGAAGAAGAAUAUAUAAAACAACAUUCUCAUUUUAAUAAACAGAGAAUAUCCAGAAGUAGUUGAUAUACCUUUUUGCUCAAAAAAAGAAGAAGUUAAUAUACCUUUAAAAGAAGAAACAACAAUUAAUCAAAUUAUCACUGUUUUUUUCUAACAAUAGUCAAAUUAUAUGAAAGACUAUGGUACCGGUAUCAAAAAUUAACUACUCAUAAGUUAACAUUUCAAAAUAAUUAAUAAAAAA